UACGUAGGGGGCUAGCGUUGUCCGGAAUCAUUGGGCGUAAAGCGCGCGUAGGCGGCCAGAUAAGUCCGGUGUGAAAGUCACAGGCUCAACCUGUGAAUGCCGCUGGAAACUGCCUGGCUUGAGUCCGGAAGGGGCGAGUGGAAUUCCUGGUGUAGCGGUGAGAUGCGCAGAUAUCAGGAGGAACACCAAUGGCGAAGGCAGCUCGCUGGAACGGUACUGACGCUGAGGCGCGAAAGCGUGGGGAGCGAACAGG
rnacentral:rRNA from 1 species